AAACCAACCGGGAUUGCCUCAGUAACGGCGAGUGAAGCGGCAAAAGCUCAAAUUUGAAAUCUGGCUCCUUACGGGGGUCCGAGUUGUAAUUUGAAGAAGCGACUUUAGUGUGGGCUCUUGUCUAUGUUCCUUGGAACAGGACGUCACAGAGGGUGAGAAUCCCGUGCGAUGAGAAGCCCAUUGCCGUGUAAAGCGUUUUCGACGAGUCGAGUUGUUUGGGAAUGCAGCUCUAAGUGGGUGGUAAAUUCCAUCUAAAGCUAAAUAUUGGCGAGAGACCGAUAGCGAACAAGUACAGUGAUGGAAAGAUGAAAAGAACUUUGAAAAGAGAGUGAAAAAGUACGUGAAAUUGUUGAAAGGGAAGGGCUUGAGAUCAGACUUUGUUUUUCCAUGGUGUUCUUUCGGGGAUGCCCUCUGGGUCUACAGGGCCAGCAUGGGUUCUGCGGGCGAGACAAUAGCGCAGGAAUGUGGCUCUGCUUCGGUGGAGUGUUAUAGCCUGUGCAGAUGUCGCCACGCGGGACCGAGGACUGCGGUACUAGGAUGCUGGCAUAAUGAUCUUAAGCCGC
rnacentral:rRNA from 1 species